GGCGAAUUGUGUACUGGGGAGGUAAAGAGGACAAGCGCUCUUCUUCUUAGACCGAGGACUCCCAUUUGCCGUCGCCGGUCCCAGUGGCACACCGCACAGGGUUCCAAGUGUUUCUUGAUGAAAAAAGUUCACUUAAAGGUUUUUAAUAAAAGGCUGCAACAUAGCAAAUGUGAAAAAGUGAAGAGUUCAGAAUACAUCCUGAAUCCACUGGAUAUUCUAAGGCUGUUGACAAGGGUUGCAGUACAAUCAACUCUCAUUAUUACAAGGGACAUGGCAGCAAAACACCAAGAACAAGACUGAGACGCACUUUCAGGAUAUC